rnacentral:rRNA from 1 species
AUCUGGUUCAGAUUGAACGCUGGCGGCGUGCUUAACACAUGCAAGUCGAACGUGAAAGGGGCUUCGGCCCUAAGUAAAGUGGCGCACGGGUGAGUAACACGUGGAUAAUCUGCCCUUAUGAUCGGGAUAACAGUCGGAAACGGCUGCUAAUACCGGAUACGCUCAAAAUGAACUUUUUUGAGGAAAGGUGACCUCUGCUUGCAAGUUACUGCAUGAGGAUGAGUCCGCGGCCCAUUAGCUAGUUGGUAGGGUAACGGCCUACCAAGGCAACGAUGGGUAGCCGAUUUGAGAGGAUGAUCGGCCACACUGGGACUGAAACACGGCCCAGACUCCUACGGGAGGCAGCAGUGGGGAAUAUUGCGCAAUGGGCGAAAGCCUGACGCAGCGACGCCGCGUGAGGGAUGAAAGGUUUUCGGAUCGUAAACCUCUGUCAGAAGGGAAGAAACCGCACCGUGCUAAUCAGCGGUGCAUUGACGGUACCUUCAAAGGAAGCACCGGCUAACUCCGUGCCAGCAGCUGC